rnacentral:rRNA from 1 species
GACGAACGCUGGCGGCGUGCUUAACACAUGCAAGUCGAACGGAAAGGCCCGGCUUUUGGGGGGUGCUCGAGUGGCGAACGGGUGAGUAACAAGUGAGUAACCUGCCCUUGACUUUGGGAUAACUUCAGGAAACUGGGGCUAAUACCGGAUAGGAGCUCCUGCUGCAUGGUGGGGGUGGGAAAGUUUCGGCGGUUGGGGAUGGUCUCGCGGCUUAUCAGCUGGUUGGUGGGGUAGUGGCUUACCAAGGCUUUGACGGGUAGCCGGCCUGAGAGGGUGACCGGCCACAGUGGGACUGAGAUACGGCCCAGACUGCUACGGGAGGCAGCAGUGGGGAAUAUUGCACGAUGGGCGGAAGCCUUAUGCAGCAACGCCGCGUGCGGGAUGACGGCCUUCGGGUUGUAAACCGCUUUCGCCUGUGACGAAGCGUGAGUGACGGUAAUGGGUAAAGAAGCACCGGCUAACUACGUG